rnacentral:rRNA from 1 species
AGCGAACGCUGGCGGCAGGCCUAACACAUGCAAGUCGAACGAACCUUUCGGGGUUAGUGGCGGACGGGUGAGUAACACGUGGGAACGUGCCUUUAGGUUCGGAAUAACUCAGGGAAACUUGUGCUAAUACCGAAUGUGCCCUUCGGGGGAAAGAUUUAUCGCCUUUAGAGCGGCCCGCGUCUGAUUAGCUAGUUGGUUAAGGUAAUGGCACACCAAGGCGACGAUCAGUAGCUGGUCUGUGAGGAUGAUCAGCCACACUGGGAGUGUGCCACAGCACGAAAUCCUACGGGAGGCAGGAGUGGGGAAUGUUGCGAAGUGGGGGAAAGCAUGACGCAGCCAGGCCGGGUGAAUGAUGAAGGUAUUAGGAUUGUAAAAUUCUUUCAACGGGGAAGAUAAUGACGGUACCCAGAGAAGAAGCCCCGGCUAACUUCGUG